UUUCUUAUAUUUUAAUAGUAAAAAUUUUUCAUUGUGGUUGAAAAGAUAUUUUUUUUUUUGAGUUAA
rnacentral:tRNA from 1 species